UAUGUCCUGUUUCGAUUAUACUGUCUAACUUAGACAAUACAUAUUUGUGUAAUUAGCUAGAGUACGUAAGGAAAAGGAAAGGUUAACCGCUAUCAA
rnacentral:rRNA from 1 species